rnacentral:lncRNA from 10 species
GAACGUGGGAGGUGGAGUUUGCAGUGAGCCGAAAUUGUGCAACUGCACUCCAGCCUGGGCGACAGAGCGAGACUCCAUCACAAAAAAAAAAAAAAAAAAAGAGAAAGGAGACGAAAAACAAGAAGAGCUCAGCUUUAAAAAAGGAUCACGACGUAGAAAAAGACACAACACUGAAGAUUGUCAUGGGUCUUUAAGAAAAGGAAAUUUGAGACGGCUAAAACGCCGAACAGUGUGGAGUUUGGGGAAGAGAUGUGGCUAAAGACAGCGCAUUUGCUUCCUGAAUGAUGGUCCCACUCAGCCAUCCACCUAUACUUUCUACAAAGUCAAUUUAUACUGAUUCUUCAGAUCAGUUAAUCACUGCCCGCCUUGGGAUGUUUCUUAUAUCCCAAGAAACAGAAUAUUUUGAUGGGAUCGCUGAUGUUUCAGACUGCAAAAGCAGCUCAGGGCGUUUGCAGUCGUGCAAGUCAACAAGAUAACCGUCUGGACCGGAAGCUGGGCUCCUCCCGGUCUCCUAACGCCAAAUCCAACACCAAGCUUCUGCAGCUGCCACCUCCCGUAGACUUCGCAUUUCUUCCGCACUCUCCUCUCACGACGGGUCUUCUUUGUUGUACUUAAUUUCCUACGCAAUAAGAUUUCAGCAUGACCAUCAGUCCCCCAAAGACUAAUUCCCACAGAGCCGAAGUUCCCACCAAGGGCCGAGGGUUAAGGUUACUAAAAUCAGCGUUUCUGAAU